rnacentral:rRNA from 1 species
CGUGAGUAACCUGCCUUGGAGUGGGGAAUAACAGUUGGAAACAGCUGCUAAUACCGCAUGAUGCAGUUGAGUCGCAUGGCUCUGACUGCCAAAGAUUUAUCGCUCUGAGAUGGACUCGCGUCUGAUUAGCUAGUUGGCGGGGUAACGGCCCACCAAGGCGACGAUCAGUAGCCGGCCUGAGAGGGUGGACGGCCACAUUGGGACUGAGACACGGCCCAAACUCCUACGGAAGGCAGCAG